GAGGAGGGGCAGAAUAAUAUCAAUAUGUUAAUAAGUAUGAGAAAGAGUCCACAAAACUGAACACUGUGAUCUACUUCAAAACAAGCUGAAAGAGAUUAGAAAAAUAAGAUAACUUUGGAGCCAGAGGCAGGGAAGUUCACUGGUAUUGCCUCUAUCUUUAGGGUGUAUUAUAUUUUGGAAAGAGGAAGAAAAUGCAUUCUGAACUGGUCUUAGUUACUUCCAUUACAGAGAGGAUAUCCAUGCCUAGAAUAGCUUUCAUGGAUUUGUCCCCCCCACAAAAAAGUACAAAACUGAACUAUACUGACCAGGCAUGCACAUUUGAAUGACACAAGUAUAAAGCACUGAAACUAUUACAUGUCAGCACACUGUUUACACUACUGAGGAGGAAAUAAGUUAUGACUAGAAAAUGAAAGCCAUUCUAAGGUGACUGGCAAAAUUCUAUUUCUUUGCCUAAGUACAGAUUAGAAAGGUAUUUAUUGUAUAAUAAUUUAUUAAGCCAUGCAUUCGUGUGCCUUCCUGCAUGUUUUACAUAAUAAUAAAAUUCAAUUAGAAUUACCAAUACAUUACUUAAGACUCAAAAUAAGUAAAAGCAUAUGCAUUGAAAAAGUAUGUUUUCUUCACAUCUCUGGCUCUAAACACCCAGUUCCACUUCCUCAAGGAAACCACUGGUAUGAUAUUGUUUUGGAACCUUUCCAAACACUCAAUGGAUUGUUUUUAAGGGAUAAAGACAUACUAUAACAUUUGUAAGAUAGUCACUUUUAAUU